rnacentral:rRNA from 1 species
UGCCAGCAGCCGCGGUAAUACGGAGGGGGCGAGCGUUAUUCGGAAUUACUGGGCGUAAAGGGUGCGUAGGCGGCCCAUCAAGUUAGACGUGAAAGCCCCGGGCUCAACCUGGGAAUUGCGUUUAAUACUGGUGAGCUAGAGUACGAGAGAGGAAAGUGGAAUUCCUAGUGUAGAGGUGAAAUUCGUAGAUAUUAGGAAGAACACCAGUGGCGAAGGCGACCACCUGGACUGACACUGACGCUGAGGUGCGAAAGCGUGGGGAGCAAACAGGAUUAGAUA